AUUGAACGCUGGCGGCAGGCCUAACACAUGCAAGUCGAGCGGAUGAAGGGAGCUUGCUCCUGGAUUCAGCGGCGGACGGGUGAGUAAUGCCUAGGAAUCUGCCUGGUAGUGGGGGAUAACGUCCGGAAACGGGCACUAAUACCGCAUACGUCCUGAGGGAGAAAGUGGGGGAUCUUCGGACCUCACGCUAUCAGAUGAGCCUAGGUCGGAUUAGCUAGUUGGUGGGGUAAAGGCCUACCAAGGCGACGAUCCGUAACUGUCUGAGAGGAUGAUCAGUCACACUGGAACUGAGACACGGUCCAGACUCCUACGGGAGGCAGCAGUGGGGAAUAUUGGACAAUGGGCGAAAGCCUGAUCCAGCCAUGCCGCGUGUGUGAAGAAGGUCUUCGGAUUGUAAAGCACUUUAAGUUGGGAGGAAGGGCAGUAAGUUAAUACCUUGCUGUUUUGACGUUACCAACAGAAUAAGCACCGGCUAACUUCGUG
rnacentral:rRNA from 1 species